rnacentral:rRNA from 1 species
CAGCAGCCGCGGUAAUACAGAGGGUGCGAGCGUUAAUCGGAUUUACUGGGCGUAAAGCGUGCGUAGGCGGCUUCUUAAGUCGGAUGUGAAAUCCCCGAGCUUAACUUGGGAAUUGCAUUCGAUACUGGUUAGCUAGAGUGUGGGAGAGGAUGGUAGAAUUCCAGGUGUAGCGGUGAAAUGCGUAGAGAUCUGGAGGAAUACCGAUGGCGAAGGCAGCCAUCUGGCCUAACACUGACGCUGAGGUACGAAAGCAUGGGGAGCAAACAGGAUUAGAUACCCGUGUAGUCCCUGUCUCUUAUAC